CCCUUAGAUGUUCUGGGCCGCACGCGUGCUACACUGAGUGGAUCAGCGGGUCAGGUUGCGCGAAAGUGUUUCCUAAUCUUGAAAUCCGCUCGUGAUGGGGAUUGACGGUUGCAAUUUUCCGUCAUGAACGAGGAAUACCUUGUAAGCGCGGGUCAUCAUCCCGCGCUGAAUACGUCCCUGCCCUUUGUACACACCGCCCGUCGCUCCUACCGAUUUCGAGUGGUCCGGUGAACCUUUCGGACCGGGAGCAGCCUCGUGCUGCGCCUGGAAAGUCAAGUAAACCACAUCACUUAGAGGAAGGAGAAGUCGUAACA
rnacentral:rRNA from 1 species